UACGUAGGGGGCGAGCGUUGUCCGAAGUUACUGGGCGUAAAGCGCGCGUAGGCGGUCGAUUAAGUCUGAGGUGAAAGGUUCAACGCUCAACGUGAACAGUGCCUUGGAUACUGGUCGACUUGAGUGUGGCAGAGGAGUAUGGAAUUCCUGGUGUAGCGGUGAAAUGCGUAGAUAUCAGGAGGAAUACCGAUGGCGAAGGCAGUACUCUGGGCUAACACUGACGCUGAGGUGCGAAAGCGUGGGGAGCAAACAGG
rnacentral:rRNA from 1 species